rnacentral:lncRNA from 1 species
CUCAAAAUACCCUUUCUAUCUAUAUCUAAUCUAAGUAAAAUGGUGUCUCGAGUUGAAGAAGCCAUGAAAAAGAAACAGCAGCAGCAGCAGCAGCAGGAAGUGAACAAGGCCAAAGAAACUUAUCAGCAACAUCUGCAAAAGCAGAUAGUUCAAUGCAACAAAGGGAAAACCAGCAAGUUCAAAAGAAGCAUUUAUAAUCUUCAAGAAGAUGGUGCUUCUUCUGCUAUUUUCUUCCUUGCUUGCAUUGCAAACUCUACCUCCUAUGUUUCAAUUUGAUUUUAAUUUAGUUUCAAGUACCUAGCUAGCUAGCUGGAUUCUGAAAAUUAAUUAGUAUAAUCCAUUAUCUUGUUUGUUUGAGUUAAACUUGUAUUCAGUUGGUUGAAAUUAUAAGUUUGUUUUUAUAUGU